GGAAGUAAAACUCGUAACAAGGUUUCCGUAGGUGAACCUGCGGAAGGAUCAUUAUUGUAUAACCGAGGUGCGAGGGCUGUCGCUGACCCGAAAGGUCGUGCACGCCCGAGUGCCCUCACACACAUCCAUCUCACCCCUAUGUGCACCACCGCGUGGGUCCCCCUUUGGCUUGUUCGGAGGGGGGCUUACGUUUUCACACAAACUUUGUAUGCAGUGUAGAAUGUAUUUUUUGUUUUUGCGAUCACGCAAUCAAUACAACUUUCAACAACGGAUCUCUUGGCUCUC
rnacentral:misc_RNA from 1 species